GAGCGGCUUGAAAAUCUUAAAUACUUUAGUACCUCAUUAUCAUUAAGAAGCAUGAAUUAUCUUUUCUUUAUCAUUUUAAGUAAAAAUAGAUGACCCAUUGAAAAUGGGAAGGAAAUUCAGGUAUCUGCCAAUUUCCUAAAACUUGUUGAACCCUGAAAACAACCUAUGAUAUUUACUUCUGAGAAAAGUUGGGCGAAAAAUGGCUGGU
rnacentral:misc_RNA from 1 species